GAUGAACGCUGGCGGCGUGCCUAAUACAUGCAAGUCGAGCGAACAGACGAGGAGCUUGCUCCUCUGACGUUAGCGGCGGACGGGUGAGUAACACGUGGAUAACCUACCUAUAAGACUGGGAUAACUUCGGGAAACCGGAGCUAAUACCGGAUAAUAUAUUGAACCGCAUGGUUCAAUAGUGAAAGACGGUUUUGCUGUCACUUAUAGAUGGAUCCGCGCCGCAUUAGCUAGUUGGUAAGGUAACGGCUUACCAAGGCAACGAUGCGUAGCCGACCUGAGAGGGUGAUAGGCCACACUGGAGCUGAGACGCGGUCCAGACUCCUACGGGAGGCAGCAGUAGGGAAUCUUCCGCAAUGGGCGAAAGCCUGACGGAGCAACGCCGCGUGAGUGAUGAAGGUCUUCGGAUCGUAAAACUCUGUUAUUAGGGAAGAACAAAUGUGUAAGUAACUAUGCACGUCUUGACGGUACCUAAUCAGAAAGCCACGGCUAACUACGUG
rnacentral:rRNA from 1 species